UGGUUGCCAUUGAUAUUACUGGAGUAGAACUCUUCCCUGCUUCUCUUAUUGUCGGCAUUUGUUGUUUCUUUAAAUUGCUCCAGAAAAUUGGCUUCUCUAUAUUUGUUUAGCUCAACUUUGUCAUAUAACAAGUGGAACCCAAACCUUUUCACUUCCCACAUUCUCAUAUGGUCGGAGCACAUAUACUCAGGGUAGAGGUGGAAUGUUGCCUUAUUCUCC
rnacentral:misc_RNA from 1 species